UAAAGAUACAUGAAAGAAUUUACACUGGGGUGAAACCUUACAGUUGUACAGUGUGUGGAAAAAGUUUGGAAGAAAUAGUGAUUUAAAAAGACAUGAUAGAAUACACACUGUGGAGAAACCUUACUGUUGUACAGUGUGUGAGAAACAGUUUUGAUCAAAUGUUUAAUUAAAAAUACGUGAUAGAAGACACACUGAGGAGAAACGUUAUAGUUGUACAGUGUGUGAAAAAGAAUUUGGAAGAAAUAGUGAUAUAAAAAGACAUGAAAGAAUACAAACUGGGGAGAUAACUUACAGUUGUACAGUGUGUGAAAAACAGUUUG